CGCAGCCCCGUCAAAUUCGGCGCCCGCCCCCACCGUGGCGGGCGCCGGCCCUACGGCUGCCACAGCGACACCGCGGCCCAUGGGCCCCGCGUCCCCCUCCCCGGGGCUCGGGGAUAGAUGUCGCCGCGGACACCC